rnacentral:tRNA from 1 species
GUCUCUGUGGUGUAAUCGGUUAGCGCGUUCGGCUGUUAACUGAAAGGUUGGUGGUUCAAGCCCACCCAGGUACG